AGAGUUUGAUAUGGCUCAGGAUGAACGCUAAGCUACAGGCUUAACACAUGCAAGUCGAGGGGCAGCAUUGGAGUAGCAAUACUCAGAUGGCGACCGGCGCACGGGUGGGUAACACGUAUCCAACCGUGCCGCUUACUCGGGGAUAGCCUUUCGAAAGAAAGAUUAAUACCCGAUGGUAUAAAGAGUUCGCAUGUUCUCUUUAUUAAAGAAUUUCGGUAAGCGAUGGGGAUGCGUUCCAUUAGAUAGUUGGCGGGGUAACGGCCCACCAAGUCUACGAUGGAUAGGGGUUCUGAGAGGAAGGUCCCCCACAUUGGAACUGAGACACGGUCCAAACUCCUACGGGAGGCAGCAGUGAGGAAUAUUGGUCAAUGGACGAGAGUCUGAACCAGCCAAAAGUAGCGUGAAGGAUGACUGCCCUAUGGGUUGUAAACUUCUUUUAUAAGGGAAUAAAGUGAGGGACGUGUCCCUUUUUGUAUGUACCUUAUGAAUAAGGAUCGGCUAACUCCGUGCCAGCCGCCGC
rnacentral:rRNA from 1 species